rnacentral:rRNA from 1 species
UACGUAGGGGGCAAGCGUUGUCCGGAUUUAUUGGGCGUAAAGAGCGUGUAGGCGGCUAGAUAGGUCCGUUGUGAAAACUCGAGGCUCAACCUCGAGACGUCGAUGGAAACCAUCUGGCUAGAGUCCGGAAGAGGAGAGUGGAAUUCCUGGUGUAGCGGUGAAAUGCGCAGAUAUCAGGAAGAACACCCGUGGCGAAAGCGGCUCUCUGGAACGGUACUGACGCUGAGACGCGAAAGCGUGGGGAGCGAACAGG